AGGACGAACGCUGGCGGCGUGCUUAACACAUGCAAGUCGAGCGGUAAGGCCUUUCGGGGUACACGAGCGGCGAACGGGUGAGUAACACGUGGGUGAUCUGCCCUGCACUUCGGGAUAAGCCUGGGAAACUGGGUCUAAUACCGGAUAUGACCUCCUAUCGCAUGGUGGGUGGUGGAAAGAUUUAUCGGUGCAGGAUGGGCCCGCGGCCUAUCAGCUUGUUGGUGGGGUAAUGGCCUACCAAGGCGACGACGGGUAGCCGACCUGAGAGGGUGACCGGCCACACUGGGACUGAGACACGGCCCAGACUCCUACGGGAGGCAGCAGUGGGGAAUAUUGCACAAUGGGCGAAAGCCUGAUGCAGCGACGCCGCGUGAGGAUGACGGCCUUGGGUUGUAAACCUCUUUCAGCAGGACGAAGCGCAAGUGACGGUACCUGCAGAAGAAGCACCGGCUAACUACGUGCCAGCAGCCGC
rnacentral:rRNA from 1 species